AGCAUCAUAGGAGCAGAAAGGCUGACGUUUCGGGCCUAGACCCUUCAUCAGAAAAUGUAACCACUGCUGGUUUUUUUUCCUGAUACUGGUGUUGGAGUCAUCAGGACGAUGUCAAGAAUGUUCACGUAUCCCUCAAGGAGUAGGGGAUGUUAGGAAGAAUUGGAAUACGGAACUGUUGGAACAUAUUGAAUUAAAAGGAGUUAUCAAGAUUUUGAAAA